UGGAUUAGAGUUCGGUAGUUGAGCAUUUCUUUUACACAGAGAAUGUCAUUUGUGCAAUUCAAAUUAAUCUAA
rnacentral:tRNA from 1 species